rnacentral:rRNA from 1 species
GAUGAACGCUGGCGGCGUGCCUAAUACAUGCAAGUCGAGCGAACAGACGAGGAGCUUGCUCCUCUGACGUUAGCGGCGGACGGGUGAGUAACACGUGGAUAACCUACCUAUAAGACUGGGAUAACUUCGGGAAACCGGAGCUAAUACCGGAUAAUAUAUUGAACCGCAUGGUUCAAUAGUGAAAGACGGUUUUGCUGUCACUUAUAGAUGGAUCCGCGCCGCAUUAGCUAGUUGGUAAGGUAAAGGCUUACCAAGGCGACGAUGCGUAGCCGACCUGAGAGGUUGAUCGGCCACACUGGAACUGAGACACGGUCCAGACUCCUACGGGAGGCAGCAGUAGGGAAUCUUCCGCAAUGGGCGAAAGCCUGACGGAGCAACGCCGCGUGAGUGAUGAAGGUCUUCGGAUCGUAAAACUCUGUUAUUAGGGAAGAACAAAUGUGUAAGUAACUAUGCACGUCUUGACGGUACCUAAUCAGAAAGCCACGGCUAACUACGUG